rnacentral:lncRNA from 1 species
GCUCAGUCCUUUGGAUGUUAAUCCAAGUGGACCAGUGCACCUAAAUAAUAAAUAUCCUCCUCAAUCCCUUGGUCUCUCUGAUUCCUUAUAUAUCCCGAUACAUUUCUGGGGGCUCAUCAGGAUUGGAGAUGACAGAUUUACUGUCCCCUUUGCCUGCGAUACUAGGUCCCCGGGGCCAGGAGAGACCCGGCAUCCAAGGUGUGCCACAGCUGAGCUUCACCCGGAUAUAUAGACCAGCUCUCCCCACGUCCCAGCACCCUGCCUGGCAGCGCAAUGGAACCGAGGAUGGGGCUGCAGGACGAUACCAGCACUUCAGGAACUGUGGCUGGCAACCUUGUAGUAAAUGGGACCACAUCCCUUAAACUACCCAGGAGCAAAGCUGGACUUCCACGAAAAAGACAGAAUCUUGCUCCGCUGCCAAGGCUGGAGUGCACUGGUUCAAUCUCGGCUCACUGCAAACUCUGCCUCCCAAGUUCAAGUGAUUCUCCUGUGUCAGUUUCGGUCUUGCUCUGUCACUCAGGCUGGAGUGCAGCGGCGCAAUCUCGGCUCACUGCAACCUCCGUCUCCCGGGUUCAAGCCAUUCCCCUGCCUCAGCCUCCCGAGUAGCUGGGAUUACAGACACCUGCCACCCCGUCCAGCUAAUUUUUGUAUUUUUAGUAGAGACAGGGUUUCACUGCAUUGGCCAGGUUGGUCUUGAACUCAUGACCUCAAGUGAUCUGCCUGCCUCGGCCUCCCAAAGUGCUGGGAUUAUAGGCAUAAACCACUGCACCCAGCCAGUAUAAAAUUUAAGAGGCUGAUCAAAACAAGUGUUGACUAGGAUGUGAAGCAACUUCUCUGUCAGAUUUUCUCUUACAUACUGCUAGGUAGAAAGUAAAAUUUGUAAAAUAUCAUCACCACUUUGGAUAACAGUGUGGCACUUUAAAAAAAGUUAAGUAUAUACUUAUAUGAUUCAGCCAUUUUGUUUCUAGGUGUUUAUGUUAAGGGAAAGAAAGAUUUCGUUAAUAUGAUACAAAUACUUGUACACAAAUAUUAUUAGCAAGUAGCAUUAUUUGUAAUGAUCAAUAACUGGGAAUUACCUAAAUAUACAUCAAUAAAUGAAGAGAUAAAAGGAAAUUAACUCUUUACUCAUGCAAUGAGAUGGCUGAAUCUCAAGAUAACUUUUCUAAGUGAAAAUAAGACAUUGCAAAUGAUAUAUAUUGUAGGACUUCAUUUAUAUUAAAUUCUAUGAAUUGCAAACUAAUCUAAAGUGACAGAAAACUGAUUGACUGGAAAGAGAAAGAGGUAAGGACAUAGGGACACAGAGGAGAAAUCACAAAGGUGCAUGCUUAGAGAAUGUUUUCCAGGUAAUUUAUAUGUUAACUAUCUUGAUGUUCUUUAUGUUUUCAUGGGCUCAUAUAGUUCUCGAGACUUAUCAAAUUGUAUACUUUAUAUAUGUGCAAUUUAUUAUAUGUUAAUUAUAUCUCAACAUGUCUGGUAAUAAAUUCAAAAAGAAAUGUAUGUAAUAUUUAACCUCUCUGUUUCUGUCUCUUUAUCUGUAAAACGAACAUAUUAGACCUGCCUUCCACAGUACUUACCAUAUAGUAAACAAUUUGUAUUACUUACUAGUAUUUGUGUUGGCUGCUCUACAACUAAUACAACUUUCUCCCAAAUUUAGGGCCUAAGCACUUUUUACUAAAUCUAUUAGAAUGUGCAAAUGUCCUGGGAUUAUGUGAGAUGAGUGAUUAGAAUUAUUACAGGGAAAACUUAGGAAAAAAAUUAAAAAGAAGAGACUCAUUGGGUCAGAGACUUACAGGUUGGGUGAGAGAAUGGAGCCAUCUUCCCACUGCCAAGAUCCAUUUGUUGGAAUGUGUACUAGUCCCAUCCAAUGAUAUGACUUCACCAGUUUAAGUAAAUCCUGUUUGAAACCACAAAUAAACUAUAAGUAAAAUCAGUGUUGAUAAUUUUAGUAAACGCAAGACCAUAACCAUUUCAUCUGUUCUCACACUUGUAAAAAAAUGCAUUCUGUCCACUAACUGGCAUAAUUCUCAUCCGAGCACACAUACAUGAUACCUACAAUUUCUGUGCUUUGUUAUUUUCAAUGAAGAAAGAUUUAGGGUUGGUAUUAGAAUAACCAAGUCACAGUGUCCCUUAUAUGUUCUAGGUUCAUAUUCCAGUGAGUUGUCUCAGAUGUUAGGAUUAAAUACAGGAUGGGAAAUUAAAAUAAAUACUCAACCUGGUCC